CAGCCACCAGCCCUCACGCUGGACACAGGGGCUGAGGCCGGGCAUCACAGAUGCGUGGAAAGCUGGCCACAGGCUCCUGACUAAGGACCCUUGGACCUCCUCUCCUCCCGCCGGAUAAGAAGCAUCCCCUCUUUGGGCGACGAUGCAGUCCAGAGCUGGAGAGGGAGAGACUUCAGAAAGAAUGGGACCCAGGCCACUUUAGAAAACGUCUCCUCUCGCAGGCGGUACUGGGGGGUUCUGGGGUGAAGGUGUGGCCGGCACAGCUGACCGCUUCCAUCAGUUCCUGAGUGGGUCACUGAGGCUGUGGCAGCAAGCCCUGCCCGUCGGGGGAUGGCGAGGGUGUGAGUGCUUGGACCUUCAUCCUUGGCUCAGAGGAAGUGCUCAGCGCACUUCUCCUGUGUGAAGGUGAUGCCUCCGUUUCUGUUGGUUCUUUUGUGAAUUGAAAUGAGCAAGUUCAAGAGACUAAAUAGCUUACUGUC
rnacentral:lncRNA from 1 species